CCUACGGGUGGCAGCAGUGGGGAAUAUUGGGCAAUGGGCGCAAGCCUGACGCAGCAACGCCGCGUGAAGGAAGAAGGCUUCCGGGUUGUAAACUUCUUCUAUGAGGGACGAAAGAAAUGACGGUUCCUCAUGAAUAAGCCACUGCUAACUACGUGCCAGCAGCCGCGGUACUACGGAGGGGGCAAGCGUUAUCCGGAUUUACUGGGUGUACAGUGCGCGUAGGCGGGAAUGCAAGUCUGAUGUUAAAGUUAUGGGCUCAACCCAUAGCCUGCAUUUGAAACUUUAGUGCUAGAGUGUGGGAGAGGCAAGCGGAAUUCCGUGUGUAGCGGUGAAAUGCGUAGAUAUACGGAGGAACAUCAGUGGCGAAGGCGGCCUACUGGACAAUAACUGACGCUGAGGAACGAAAGCGAGGGGAGCAAACGGGAUUAGAUACCCUAGUAGUC
rnacentral:rRNA from 1 species